rnacentral:rRNA from 1 species
UACGGAGGGAGCUAGCGUUGUUCGGAUAUACUGGGCGUAAAGCGCACGUAGGCGGCGCCGUAAGUCAGGGGUGAAAUCCCGGAGCUCAACUCCGGAACUGCCCUUGAAACUGCAGUGCUAGAAUUCUGGAGAGGCGAGUGGAAUUCCGAGUGUAGAGGUGAAAUUCGUAGAUAUUCGCAAGAACACCAGUGGCGAAGGCGGCUCACUGGCCCGAUACUGACGCUGAGGCACGAAAGCGUGGGGAGCAAACAGG